CAAUCACACGGCCUCCUUCUAGGGAGGAAUCAGAGGGAGAUCUCAUUACACAGACAGGAGAGAAGAGGGCAGUGUGACCGCAGAGGCAGAGAUCGAAGUGAUGCAGCCAUGAGGCAAGGAAUGUGACAGCCGCCAGAAGCUGGAAAAGGCAGGAACAGAGUCUCUCCCAGAUCUUCCAGAGGGGGUGUGUCCUUGCCGACAUCUUGACUUUGGCCUGGUGAAACUGGUUUUGGACUUCUGGCCUCCACAACUCAGCGGCACAGCGCUCAGAGUGGAGCAGGCCCCCGCUGAAUUGAUGUUGUCCCUAUGACAGUGUGCCGCCCACUGUGACAGGCAGUGCCAAUGCAGAGACGAGAAGACUCAGACCCUGCUGGAGAUGUGGAGGGGAAGACAGACAAGAAAACCAGAAUGACAGCAGGCCUGGGGGGUCCACGAGGAGCCAGCCCCCAGCACAGAGGCACCUGGAUGCUGAGACACGGGGACAAUCUGCUUCGUCGUGUGUGUUCUCAUUGUCUAACCGGAGAUUGUCUCUUGCUUUCCA
rnacentral:lncRNA from 1 species